GUUAAUAACCUCACCUGGUAAAAGUUCAAUCUUAUCUGAUCUCUGAAGCUAAGCAGGUUUGGGCCUGGUUAGUACUUGGAUGGGAGACUGCUGGGAAUAGCACACAGUGGGGCAUUAGUC
rnacentral:rRNA from 1 species